AUUGAACGCUGGCGGCAUGCCUUACACAUGCAAGUCGAACGGUAACGGGUCCUUCGGGAUGCCGACGAGUGGCGAACGGGUGAGUAAUAUAUCGGAACGUGCCCAGUAGUGGGGGAUAACUGCUCGAAAGAGCAGCUAAUACCGCAUACGACCUGAGGGUGAAAGGGGGGGAUCGCAAGACCUCUCGCUAUUGGAGCGGCCGAUAUCAGAUUAGCUAGUUGGUGGGGUAAAGGCCUACCAAGGCAACGAUCUGUAGUUGGUCUGAGAGGACGACCAGCCACACUGGGACGGAGACACUGCCCAGACUCCUACGGGCGGCAGCAGUGGGGAAUUUUAGACAAUGGGCGCAAGCCUGAUCCAGCAAUGCCGCGUGCAGGAAGAAGGCCUUCGGGUUGUAAACUGCUUUUGUCAGGGAAGAAAUCUUCUGGGCUAAUACCCCGGGAGGAUGACGGUACCUGAAGAAUAAGCACCGGCUAACUACGUGCCAGCCGCCGCAGUAA
rnacentral:rRNA from 1 species